rnacentral:rRNA from 1 species
GACGAACGCUGGCGGCGUGCCUAAUACAUGCCAGUAGAACGCUGAAGAGAGGAGCUUGCUCUUCUUGGAUGAGUUGCGAACGGGUGAGUAACGCGUAGGUAACCUGCCUUGUAGCGGGGGAUAACUAUUGGAAACGAUAGCUAAUACCGCAUAACAAUAGGUGACACAUGUCAUUUAUUUGAAAGGGGCAAUUGCUCCACUACAAGAUGGACCUGCGUUGUAUUAGCUAGUAGGUGAGGUAACGGCUCACCUAGGCGACGAUACAUAGCCGACCUGAGAGGGUGAUCGGCCACACUGGGACUGAGACACGGCCCAGACUCCUACGGGAGGCAGCAGUAGGGAAUCUUCGGCAAUGGGGGCAACCCUGACCGAGCAACGCCGCGUGAGUGAAGAAGGUUUUCGGAUCGUAAAGCUCUGUUGUAAGUCAAGAACGAGUGUGAGAGUGGAAAGUUCACACUGUGACGGUAGCUUACCAGAAAGGGACGGCUAACUACGUG